UGUCUUGCUCUCAUCUCAUCUGUCUCGCUCUUUUCUCAUCUGUCUCACUUUCCUGGCUCGCUCUCUUCUCAUCUCUCUCGGUCUCUUCUCAUCUGUCUCGCACUCUUAUCUGUCUCACUCUCUCCUCAUCCGUCUCACUCUCUCCUCAUCUGUCUCGCUCUCUCCUCAUCUGUCUCACUCUCUCCUCAUCCGUCUCGCUCUCUCCUCAUCCGUCUCGCUCUCUCCUCAACCGUCUCGCUCUCUUCUCAUCUGUCUCGCUCUCUUCCUCUUCUUGUCCUUAACGCUCUGGUUCUCGGUGUUAAUGUGCCUCCACAGUGGAGUUCUGGAGCAGGAGGGACGGUGAGAGUGCAGGGUGAAAGGGAGUGCAGAAACCUUCCCUCGUUCUCCCUCCCUCGUUCUCUCCUCCCCUCCCCCACGAUGCCGUCCUCUGUUCCAGACAGUUGAAAAUAAAAAUGUUAACUGCUUGUGGACGGUGUUUAAGGAAAGCCAACAGGCAAAACAAGGCGUGCAACCGAGCGUGGAGUUCAGGGCCGCAAGCGCUGCUUCGUCAAACCACAGGAAGCUCAACAAUGAAAGUCUUUUUACACAGUCCUGACUUGGACCUUUUUCAUUAUGAUUUUUUUUCCUCCAGCAGGCUUGGGAAAUGCUCACGUCUCCGGAGACGUUAAAACGAACCACACUUUGGUUAGUAUUUAAUCACGUAAGUCUCAACGGUUUUAACGUGCUGAAAGGAAGUCUGCUUUUACAACCACUUAGCUAACAACCUGACAACCCACAUGUACACACACUCGUCUCCUCGCUUCACCUUCGCUCUGAUUAGAUCAGCACCAGUUCCUAACGAAAACUAGGUCAGGAACUGAUGCUGAGGCCACGUGUCGUUUAGGGCUGAUUUAUGACGUCGGCGCUGAGACGCAGAGAUCCGGCUUUUUACAAACGCACAGUGCUAAUCGUUGACGUGGUGAAGAUAUCUGUAAAGAGUUCAUGGAAUGGAAGGGGUCUCCAGUGUCAGCGCUUUGUAACAGUCAGAGGUAAAACUGUAACGUCUUCAGGACAGAGGACUUUAAUAAGUUCUUAAAACAGAUCUGCUCAUUUUAGAUUCUGUCAGCUUUGUUGUGGAAGCUAUUUGAUGCUAAUAAUGGCUAAUAGGAGCCCUUAAGAGUUUCACGAUGUUCCAUGUCUUGCUGUACGUCCUGACAUCCAUCCCUGGGUUUUUUGUGGGAAUCGCGACUGAAUCCGUUCAACCUUCCGUGAGGAAUAAUCGGAAAGGCCUCCUUCUUUAACCUGAUGGCUUCCCUCACUGCUGGUGUUUCACCAGGACAUCCAAGAGUUACCACCACGACAUUCACCAAGCUUAAACUCAUCUCCCAACGAAGCUUCACCAGAUGAUCCCAAGCAACUGGGAAUGCUCGCCAAGGUUUAUGAAGUAAAUUUAUCUGGCAUGCUGUGCAACAAAUUACAAAUUCAACACCAAGGUGUGAUCAGGUGAUAGCUCUGACCCUCUCUUUACCCAAGUGUACAGAACAUGACCUCAGGUCUGAUGAUACUAUCAGAACAUCGAUGAUUGACCGUGCCUCAAGGUGCUCUUGUACCAAAUACACAGGAGGCUACAUUGAUGCCUCCCUAUCACCAUCAUUCCUACCAUGAGAACUGAAGAACCCCAGCAGCAUUAUGGAGACAGUAGGAGGAACCAUCUUGAGCCGUUUCUCCACCAAGAAGUCUGAACAAAUAACAUUCCUGAGACAUGAAGUCUCACUGGCGAAAACUCCACCAUCCUCACAGCAUCUCCUGUAGGAAGUCUGAAGUAGGACAGAGAUCAUCCCCGAUCAAGAUGUUGAGUAAUAUCCCAAAGCCAGUUUCCAUUCCAGGAGUCAAUCUGGCUAAGACAUCCAUCUCAUCAUCCAUCACAUGCCUGCCACCAGACUAGCACUGCACCUGAGCACGUCACGUUCAGGCUGAGCGUGACCUGGUUACAUGCGUGGUCCGAUCACCAAACACUCGCAAGCGGAGACACAUGACGGAGUCCCGGUAACCCUAAUCUGUGCAGCGUUCACGUCCUCAGCAUGGGUAAGGAAAAAGCAUCUCUGCAAAUUUAUAAGCUUUGCGCACUCUGUACUGUACUGUUUUGUCCGUUGUGUAUGAGUGCUCCAGUACUGCAGGUGGCGCUAGUGAACUUUCAUUACGGUUCACAUGACAACAGGAAGACAGUUGCGUCUGCAUAAAAAACGUAAUCAAAUGUUCACAUGUUAGAGCACGAGGAAUAGAAAGAAGUGCUUAUUUUGUUCCAUAUUUUCAAAGAGAAAAGAAAAAGAGAAAUAAGAUGCAAGAGGGGGUGUGGUCUAGGGGGAGGCGGGUUCAUAAGCCAGAUUCGUACCGAGUUGCUUUGAAGAAGAAAAUGAUUCCGGUUUCCAGGAUGAUGGACGUCUAAACAAAAUAAGGUUACAGUGUUCGGCUAUAUGACGAGGUUGUAGUUUCCACAUCGAUGUGUACAGCGCUGCUGAGUUCUGGAUUCUGAUUGGUCAGAAGGCGUUGAUUCAAUUUCUAUAACAGCAGCUCUGACAGUAGCGCAGGUUUAUAUAAAUACAUAAUGUCAUUGUGUAAAAUGUAUUUGCAUUUCUCUUUAAGGGAUGAACAUAUUUGCAUCAGUACAUCUGUAGAAGAGUGUGUGUGUGUGUGUGUGUGUGUGUGUGUGUGAGAGAGAAAGAAAGAGCAGGAGAGAGAGACAUUAGCCUGUAGGUGUGUCAUCAUAUGAACAGUUCUUAUGUGGGAAAUUCUGAGACCAUGAUGUUCCAUGGAAAUGUGUGUGUGUGUGUGUGUGUGUGUGUGUGUGUGUAUGUAUGUGUGUGUGUGUGUGUGUAUGUGUGUACUGAAGGCGAAGUGAACCCUUCUGUGACUCUUGCUUUGAUCUUAUCCAGUGGUCUGAAUCUGUUUGAGUUGCCAACCAGCUCAUCGUGCACACACACACACACACACACACACACACACACACACACACACACACACACACAUAUACACACACUACAUAUUUACACACUAGAACUCUUCCCAUACCACUAACCCCAUCCAAGUUUUACACACACAAACACACACACACACACACACUUUUGUUUCAUUUACCCAGACCGCAGCGCUCUGGUUUCUGACUGCAUUAAAACAUUUGCAUGAGCUUCAUCCAGCAGCAGCUUCAUCCAAACACACACACACACACACACACACACACACACACACACACGCACACACAAUCUCUCACUAACUUGCAUAUCAGGAUUCAUUCUAAAACCCAAGAUCCCGAUCCAACAUUCUCCAGAAAAUCCCAAAUGUAUAAUGUUUGGUCUGUCAGAACAUUACAAACCUCAUGAUAAUAAAAUAUUAAAAUAAAAUAUAUUCAUGCGGAAAAAAAUUCAUGGAUUUAAAGAAACAGUUUGGCUAAAAAUGAAAUGUAAAACAUAUCCUCCUGUCUCCAAAUGUUCUCGAUUAGCUGAGAUGUUCAGAGUGCGAUGUUUGUUCUGCACUGAGGCUACGAGCGUGAUGUAUCUCACCAGCAGUUUAAAGUUAGAAGAACGUUUUCUGAACGUUACCUGGUGACUCUAAAAGAACAUUUAAAUCUGUCAGGUUUUGUGAGAAAGCUUCUGCAUAACGUUUAUAAACGUUCCUGGUAUAACAACGCUGCUAUAACCUUCCUGUCACUUUACCUUGUGUGAGCAUUAUUCUAAGAAUGUUAGAAUUGUAAGACGUUGCAAGAAUGUUAUUUUAACGUUAGCUCCUAACCCUUCUGAAACGUUUCUAAACACGGAUAACUUUCUCUGCUAGCAAAUUAGAAGAAAUAUUUACAAAUUUAAGUUCAAAAUGGACCUGUAUUAUCCGCCGUUUAAUUUUAGGGGUGUGGCCUGGGGGAUGGGGGGAGGGGCGUCGUCAUUCCAAAUUGUAUAUGUGAUUCCAGUUGUCCACAAAUAAUGCGCCAGUUUUCAGCUACACGUUGAGGCUGAUAACUACUUAGCUAGCUAGUUACGGAAAGUGUUACAUUACCAUGUGGUCAUCCACUAAAACUUUGCAUGUCAAACGUGAUUGGUUCAAGCUGUUAAGAAUGAUUUGUGACAUCACACUAACAAGCUUCACAUGAGGUCAUGCAGCUACAUCCAGAUGUUAUAAAUGAAUAAUGUAUUGGCACCCUGUUAAAAUGGGAAUCUGGAAUCCUUCUAGGAAAAAUGAAGUUAUUGGAACUUUGAGCUGGUGCUUGUCCUAAUUUUCCGUUCUAAUGCGCACGGCAAGAACCAUAUCCUUAUCCAAGUUCAUGCAAAAGGAAUUCCGAUGAAACGCCGAAUAUGUUUGGAAUAUUUCUGUACAUUUUUGAAGCGGUCUCUAAACCUGCGUACGUGUUUGAACUAAGGUUUAUUGGCGUCUGUCGUUCUCCUAUUUCGCUUUGUGCGAGUGUGUAUGAGUGUGUGAGUGUGUGUGGGCGAGCAGGUGAUAUGGCCUUGACCGGAAGGUCACAGAAAGCCGUCAGUUCCUUUUUCCUCUCCGGAUAUUCCCAGCAUUCUCUCUCCAGUAUCGCGGGUCGGGAACGCUGGGAAUCUGCGGGACAGGAAGCCGGAACAGGAACGCCGCCGCUCGAGGCAGAACCUCCUUGCUCUGCCCUGAUCUCAGACCAGUCUCCUUAAUCCAAACCCUGACCUCAGAUAUUAACACACUGAGCUGUGAGGUGGAAUCAUGGAGUCAGACAACACUGACCCCCAAUGGACAGAGCCGAAAUUACAUGUCAGAACAUUAACGACAUUUUAAAAUAUUAAAACAAAUUAAUGCACAAUAAUAAACUGUUUAGUGUUUUUAUUUAUUUAUUUAUUUAUUUUAUAGCAGAGGAACAUCACUACACCUUCACCUUCAUUAAAAUGGCUGUAUUUAUGAAUAUACAUGAAUAUGCAAAUUAGAAACGUAUCAAUAUCCUCUAUAACCUAGUAACAUUUCUAAGUUAGCUAGUCAGUUAGCUAACUGCUUAUAAGCUAGUUCACAUUUAUCAGUAGGAUUUCAGUCCCAAUUCACAUCCUCAAUGUCUCGAUGAUUUAUUUAAUAACAGCAAAAAUAGUUUGGUUGCUAACUUGCUAGCUAGAUACUUCAGCUAAAAAUUUCCAUAGUCACCAGUGUCAUCCUCUAAUCUUUUGCAUAUCAGGCAUGAUAGGCUGAAACCAGUGAGCGUGUUACAUGACAUCACUAUGCAAGAUCAUACAUAGCCCCGCCCCCAAAUCAUUGCAAUGUUAAACACUAUAAGGGAAAAAAUCUUUAUUUUAUUCAACAUAUAGAAACACCCAAAAUGUUUUAGUUUGUUUGUUUGUUUCUUUGUUGUAUUUUAUUUAUUUCAAUUCAUCAAACACGUGUAGCUGCGUAGCUUCUCUGUGUGUUAACACCUAACUUAUAACACCUUUAACAUGUUUUAAUAUCAUCUCUCAUGCAGCGUGUUAACAGUGUGUGAAAUUGUUUGAGUCGAUCUCCAGCACAUUUUAAUAUUUAAUAUUUUAUUUCCAAGGAAAUCUUCGCAAAAGCUUCUACAUCUACGCAGAAUUGAUCUCUAAAUAAACCAGCGGUGAUCCUGAGUCUGUUUAUUCUGUAUUAUUUCUACAUUAAAGGAACAAUAAACUCUGUUAAAAAGCUGU